rnacentral:tRNA from 1 species
GUAUGGAUGCAGCUCAGGGGUAGAGUGCAUGCUCAGCAUGCAAUGAGGCCCUGGAUUCAAUCCCCAGGCCCAAAAA